rnacentral:tRNA from 1 species
AGUUAAUGAACUUGUAUACAGUGUAUGUUUUGAAGCCAUAAAAAAGAAUAAAUAUUCUAUUAACUU